rnacentral:rRNA from 1 species
GAUGAACGCUGGCGGCGUGCCUAAUACAUGCAAGUCGAGCGAACAGAUAAGGAGCUUGCUCCUUUGACGUUAGCGGCGGACGGGUGAGUAACACGUGGGUAACCUACCUAUAAGACUGGAAUAACUCCGGGAAACCGGGGCUAAUGCCGGAUAACAUUUAGAACCGCAUGGUUCUAAAGUGAAAGAUGGUUUUGCUAUCACUUAUAGAUGGACCCGCGCCGUAUUAGCUAGUUGGUAAGGUAACGGCUUACCAAGGCAACGAUACGUAGCCGACCUGAGAGGGUGAUCGGCCACACUGGAACUGAGACACGGUCCAGACUCCUACGGGAGGCAGCAGUAGGGAAUCUUCCGCAAUGGGCGAAAGCCUGACGGAGCAACGCCGCGUGAGUGAUGAAGGUCUUCGGAUCGUAAAACUCUGUUAUUAGGGAAGAACAAAUGUGUAAGUAACUGUGCACGUCUUGACGGUACCUAAUCAGAAAGCCACUGCUAACUACGUG